rnacentral:lncRNA from 1 species
AUAUACUUUUAUCUCUGAAAGAUGCAAUUAAUUCAUUUUAAGACCUACUAUAUCUUUCCUCAUUGUGUUCAUGUUUCUUCAUGUUUCCCUUUAACUCCUUUAGUACGUUAAGUCCCCUACAUAGAAACCUUCAAUUUACAAACUUUCAAAGAUGUGAACGUGCAUUCACAUGUUCAAUCGUGUAAGUUAGUUCACAUGUCUGGCGUACGUUGUCAUGUACACGCAUCUUCUACAAAUGGUUGUGUACUUCACUGUACAGUACAGUAUACUGUAUGUCUUUAUUUCAAGCCCAGAAUGUCUGGAAGCAAGCAAAAACGCAGCAGUGUUAUAGCUGGUACUGCUAAGAAGCCCCAGAAAUUGGCAGUCCAGAGAAAGGACAAAGAGACAAGAGGAAGAGUUAUUUAUGAGAGGAAAGCAAGCUCACUAGCAGUCAUUCCAUUGGAGCCAGAAGCAGACCUCUACCGUAUGCAUUUCACAAGGUAAAGAGCAUUAAAUUGAUUUUACUGCGAGUAUUUGAGAGGGAGAUAAGGUUAGAUGAUACAUUC